UGGGGAAUAUUGCACAAUGGGCGCAAGCCUGAUGCAGCCAUGCCGCGUGUAUGAAGAAGGUCUUCGGGUUGUAAAGUACUUUCAGCGGGGAGGAAGGGAGUAAAGUUAAUACCUUUGCUCAUUGACGUCACCCGCAGAAGAAGCACCGGCUAACUCCGUGCCAGCAGCCGCGUUAAUACGGAGGGUGCAAGCGUUAAUCGGAAUUACUGGGCGUAAAGCGGACGCAGGCGGUUUGUUAAGUCAGAUGUGAAAGCCCCGGGCUCAGGCUGGGAACUGCAUCUGAUACUGGCAAGCUUGAGUCUCGUAGAGGGGGGUAGAAUUGCAGGUGUAGCGGUGAAAUGCGUAGAGAUCUGGAGGAACACCGGUGGCGAAGGCGGCCCCGUGGACAAAGACUGACGAACAGGUGCGAAAGCGUGGGGAGCAAACAGG
rnacentral:rRNA from 1 species